GCUUGUACUCCUAAGAUGAAACAUGAGUAGCCAAAACUUUGAAAAAUUUUUUAAAGGUAUGCUCUUUACGUAAGAAGAGCUUGACUACAAUGGUGGACUCUUUUGACGUUUUUGCCACCUUGCUAUCAUUUCUGUUUUUAGGGCAAUCUCUACACCACUGUGCAGUUAAAAUCUCUCCCCCAUCUCGUUACUAACAGUCAGAGAAUUGACAUUGUGUGACAGUUAUCUGCUUCAAAUCAGAGAAUACUCUUGACCUCUUUGCAGGAGUGAAGAGAAGUCUGACAGGGCGUAAGACAAAACUAACAAGACUAAGUCACCAAGACCGCCUUGUAGGUCUGCACCACCCUGGGGACGGGCGACUGCAUGCUAGGGACACGUGCAGCUGAUCUAAGUGCCCAUCCUCCUCUGUAACGUAAAAAGCCCAACCAACAAGAAGUGGAAGUCUGAUGUCUACUGUGGCAUUUUAAUGUAGGGAAAUUGGUAUGUUUUUAAUAGAACCUAAUUACCAAAGUUAAAGAGUAGGGUCGGGGAGAGUUUUGGAAGUGCUUUCUCCCAUAUUCAUUAUAUCAGAAAAUUUAGGUCAAAGAAGUUUUUUUAAAAAACAUUCCCACACUGCCCAUUUGUUUUUCAUUUCUUAACCUUUGGGUUUUUAUGUGAGGAUACUAAGUAGUGUUAAUAGUCAGAAGUUAAUUUUGCUUGCUUUUGUAAUUCCUGUUCUUAUUUCAAGUUCCCCCUUUCUUGCUUAUAUUCCUCUAUAUAAAUAAUAACCUGGAACACUUGACAUGAUUAAAAAUAUGUGAUUUACUUGCAGAACUUGUAAUAUUUGGAAUUGUAAAGGGGUGUAUUAAAGAGUUACCUAGCAAUAGAAUUCAGCCUUUCUCUCCAGGAAAUAAUCUGUUUUACACAAACAUGAAAAGUUAUAGCCCCACCCCUUACAUAAAUGCAUUAGUAGAAAUGACUGCCAGGGCAAACCGCUGCUAAUGUGCAUGGUCGGUAUAUGUGUGCUGUGCUUUCUCUUCCUGUAGGCAAGGCAGUUUCCCCGGCAUGAACCAGAGUGGACUUAUGGCUUCCAGCUCUCCCUACAGCCAGCCCAUGAACAACAGCUCUAGCCUGAUGAACACGCAGGCUCCGCCCUACAGCAUGGCGCCCGCCAUGGUGAACAGCUCGGCAGGUAACCUUGGCAGCUCUGUGCUCCUGAGCCCCUCUCUCUCCCCUCUCCUCCUCUUAGGCUCCACCAGUGAAUCUGCCUAAACGACCCGAGAAGGUGGAUCAGUUGGCGAAAGUGGGAAUCAUACUACUUUUCUGCUUCUCAGAAACUUGCUCCAUCUAUUUAAGACUUGAGAAUUACAUUAUAUUUUAUGUAAAUUAUUUUUAUUCAAUCUGUGUUUGUAUAACAAGUGGACAUAUUUCAAGUAUUAUUGGAGAUUGUUAAAUAUGCACACUAAGUUCUCUUUCUCUUUGGGAAUUAUUAGUAUUGGAAGAUCCUCAAAUUCUCUCCAUUUGGUAGUGGUGGAGACAAACAUUUCGAAUUCACAUUUCAGGGGAAAUCGCUGGAAGGGCAGAGCAAGGGGGGUUUGAAGUACUUUUUACAUUUAGGGAAACACCUCUAAAUAUAUGCUUGGAAGUAGCUGCUUCAUAAAUGCUCUGUGCAGAUUGUCUCUAUUGGGAAACUGUUUUAAAUGUUUCAUGAUGUUUAGUUAUUUUAACCCAUUUUAUAAUCUCCACAGUAGCGUUCUUAAAAGUCAUGCCUGAUGAUUGCAGUGGAUGAGUAGCCAAUGUGUGGAAAAUAUCAAGAGUGUCUGAAACUGUGCAUAUCUCCCAUGAUCUUAGACUCUUCAAGACCCUUGAACCCCCUCCUCAGGUUCCGUAACUACCUAAAGACAAUGAGUACCACUUUUUACAUAAAGUGAUGUGUAUUUCCAGCGACCUGUUACUCUCUGUCACAUGUUAAAAUGGAUCUCACGGGAGGAUUCCCUCCUUCAGAGACUGCGGGGCGUGGCUUAGCCAGUGUGUAUCCCGUGAUGCCCCGUGAUGCAUUAGGAAUGCAUGAGACAGCCAGAUCCUUGGUUCUUUCUGAUUAAAUUUUUUAUUUCUUCUGCCUUUCACCUCCUUUCUGGCCUGUCUUUGAAAGGCCUCCCCAGAAGUUCAUGUUUCUGUGUCUGGCGGAACAGCCAGUGAGAGGCUGGGCUCGCCUCCUGUCUGAGCUUCUGCGUCGUUGAUUUCUAGGACCUAAUUGAAGGGUGACAUUCCAUGAUGAUUUCUCUUGAAAGAUUUAUGAAAGAGGAACACAUAGAAACUAGUGGUAAAAAUGAAGGUUUUUAAAUAAAUAAAAUAGCCCUUCCUGAUGCUCCGUUGAGUGCUUCUCCAUCACAGUUUGGUGGAUGUUUUACAUUCGAGAUGAAGGUGAAAAGCUUGCAAACAGCCUGUUAGCUGGAAGCCUCUUCUUUCCCUAAUUUCCCUAACCAGUGCUGGCCCAGGUAACAGAGUAUUGGGUUGUGACAUACUAUGUUUUGUCUGACUUGCUGGAAUAAAAUUACUUGAGAGCAUUGAAACCACACAAUCAAUUUUCACCUAAUAUCAGCAGCGCUCAUUUUCCCCUUCUUCCUUUGGACCCCAGAGCCACAAAAACAACCAACAACAAGCAGAUGGUCCAGCGCCCUGCCUCAGAAGAUUUAUGUAUUCCUAAGGAAUAGCCAGCUUAAUGGAGAUUCACAGAGAGGGUUUCUUUCUAUUCUUAUUAUUCAGAUAAUUCAGCUAUUCGUUAUUCCGUACAGAGGAAAUCUGUUCAGUGAAAGGCCGUCCAUCCUCACGAUCUUUUGUAUGGGGUGGUAGUGUAUUUUUUACUGCAUUGUACAUUUUGAAACAUUGAAUUUUUAAUAAUUUAAACAUUUAUCCAAUUUUCCUCUACACGUUGAUCUGAUUUUAUCCCACCUUGAUUAAGUGAAAUACAUAACAGAGGAGGACUGGCCAUUUCGCAUUGGCUGUGCACCUAGCAGCAGGUACACGUGAGUCUGCUGUUACUGCGUUCUGAUCUCUCAGAGAGACAGGAGUGACGCAGAGCGUUACAGCACAGCCCCUGUGAGCAUUGGGAUGCGGGAGUGUCUACCUGACUGCACAAGAGAUGGGCCAGAAAUGGUGGGAUCACCAUCACUCCAGUCUCCUUGGUUUGGGCCCAUGGAGAUAAAUUACCAGUGAUAACAGCAAAGUGUUUCUCCAUCAAAAUAUACUUUUGGAGAAAGCGAGGACAGCACAAAUGAUGGCCAGGUCUGGUGGUGGAAUUUUCUGAACCUCAGCAGCCAGUGCAACCAGCAUUCCAGCAAUUUUCUUCACCGAGUUCAAACAACUGUGUUGUAGACAGUGUACGGGGCCAAAAAAAAAUCCUCCUGUGUAGUGACAAAUUGUUACAGGCUUCAGUGAGCAAGUAAUUAUUUAAAUGGAGUCAGUGUGAGUAUAAAUGUGACAACUAUUUCUUCACUUAAAAUGCCAAGGGAAGGAGGAUGGUAAGCAGUGGGAAUUUUUCCUUCUAAAGAGCUUUUUUGGUUUUGUUUUGUUUCAAUUAUUUAGAUUAAAAGGUUAGAAUUAUGUAUUACUGUGGACAAAAUUACAAAUCACUGUAAUACAAUACAUGUGUGAUUGGUUAGGUUUUACUUAUUUGUGUUGAGUUUUAUAAUAUUCAUUAGUCAUUUGCACUUGUCUGCAUAUAAACCGUCAUCUUAAAGUGGACAUCUAAAUUCCAAAAACUUUAUCUCCCAUCUGUGGUUCUAAGUUUGCCUCACCAGACGCUACUCUACAAAAUGUAGGGCAUUUCUCCUACUGCCACCUAUAAAUAGCACAGGAGCGGCCAUAUGUGCUGCUGGAACCAGGCUUUCUCACAGAGAGCCCUGGGCACAUUCCAGAAGUGAGUCCUUCUGCUAACCUAGCACCACUCAGUCCCAAACGCAAAGUGUCCCGUUAAUGCCCUGCCAGUACAGGGUAUCCCAGCUCCAGUAGGCCUUUACGAAGAAAAAGGCAAUCACACUGCCACAAAAAGUGAGAACCUCCUACCUCCGGACCUCCUGCAGUGCUUGUUAAAACGACCGAUUCCGGGGCUCCCUUCAGAAUUCUUGAGGUGGGUCCAGGAAUCCGCAUCCCUGACCACUUCCGCAGGUAGUUUUCAUGCAUGCAAGCUCAAGUUUGAGAAGCGCCAAUGUGGAGGUAUUUUGCUCAACAGUCUCCUGGCAGAUCUGCUGCCAGCUUUGUGGGGCAUUA
rnacentral:sRNA from 1 species